rnacentral:rRNA from 1 species
AUAUUGACUGCAUCGCGUGUCGCCCUUUUCCGGUUGAUCCCGCCGGACCCGACUGCUAUCAGAAUAGGACUAAGCCAUGCGAGUCAACGUAGUAGCAAUACUACGUGGCAUACGGCUCAGUAACACGUAGUCAACAUGCCCAGGGGACGUGGAUAACCUCGGGAAACUGAGGAUAAACCGCGAUAGGUCAUAAUGUCUGGAAUGAUUUAUGGCUGAAAUCUACAUGGCCUCUGGAUUGGGCUGCGGCCGAUCAGGCUGUUGGUGAGGUAAUGGCCCACCAAACCUAAAACCGGUACGGGCUCUGAGAGGAGGAGCCCGGAGAUGGGCACUGAGACAAGGGCCCAGGCCCUAUGGGGCGCAGCAGGCGCGAAACCUCUGCAAUAGGCGAAAGCUUGACAGGGUUAUUCUGAGUGGUUUCCGCUAAGGAAAUCUUUUGGCACCUCUAAAAAUGGUGCAGAAUAAGGGGUGGGCAAGCCUGGUGUCAGCCGCCGCGGUAAUACCAGCACCCCGAGUGGUCGGGACGAUUAUUGGGCCUAAAGCAUCCGUAGCCGGUUCUGCAAGUCUUCCGUUAAAUCCACCUGCUCAACAGUUGGGCUGCGGAGGAUACUAUAGAGCUAGGAGGCGGGAGAGGCAAGCGGUACUUAGUGGGUAGGGGUAAAAUCCGUUGAUCCACUGAAGACCACCAGUGGCGAAGGCGGCUUGCCAGAACGCGCUCGACGGUGAGGGAUGAAAGCUGGGGGAGCAAACCGGAUUAGAUACCCGGGUAGUCCCAGCUGUAAACGAUGCAGACUCGGUGAUGAAUAAGCUUCGUGCUUAUUCAGUGCCGCAGGGAAGCCGUUAAGUCUGCCGCCUGGGGAGUACGGUCGCAAGACUGAAACUUAAAGGAAUUGGCGGGGGAGCACCACAAGGGGUGAAGCCUGCGGUUCAAUUGGAGUCAACGCCCGGAAUCUUACCGGGGGCGACAGCAGAAUGAAGGUCAAGCUGAAGACUUUACCAGACAAGCUGAGAGGAGGUGCAUGGCCGUCGCCAGCUCGUGCCGUGAGGUGUCCUGUUAAGUCAGGUAACGAGCGAGAUCCCUGCCUCUAGUUGCUACCAUUGCUCUCAGGAGUAAUGGGGCUAAUUAGAGGGACUGCCGUCGCCGAGACGGAGGAAGGAGGGGGCUACGGCAGGUCAGUAUGCCCCGAAACCCUCGGGCCACACGCGGGCUGCAAUGGUAAGGACAAUAAGUUCCUAGUCCGAAAGGAGGAGGUAAUCUCCAAACCUUACCUCAGUUAUGAUUGAGGGCUGCAACUCGCCCUCAUGAAUAUGGAAUCCCUAGUAACCGCGUGUCACAAUCGCGCGGUGAAUACGUCCCUGCUCCUUGCACACACCGCCCGUCGCUUCAUCGAAGUUGGUUCUUGGCAAGGUGGUGUCUAAUUGGCACUAUCGAACCUGGGGUCAGCAACGAGGGAGAAGUCGUAACAAGGUAACCAAGGGCGACACGCGAUUGCAGCGAGCCUCAGACAU